rnacentral:tRNA from 1 species
CUCCCUAUGGCUCAGUUGGUAGAGCAUGGUGUGUGCAACGCCAGGGUUGUGGGUUUGAUUCCCAUGGGGGGC